rnacentral:lncRNA from 1 species
AGGCAAAUUUCCUCUCUACUCUAAAUGUUAUACCAUGUGCCAAUGUCUUAAAAAUCAGACGGGGGCAGUCAUUGAAUCGGUGAAAGAUCUAUUCUCAACUACAUGUAAACGUUUCCGUAGGAUUUAGCUGUUGAAUCGAGAUUUAGGCUUAUUGUGUUACGUUCAGUAUCUGAGAAUUUGAUUGAAUGCAUGAUUUUAGUAGGCUCUGGCUUAAAGAGUGUGGAGAUUUUUUGUUAUUUAAUUAUCUAUUAUAUUUAGGAUUGGGAUUUGGAUGUGAUGACUAUUAGUUCUAAAAUGACAGUGUAUUAGGCAUUUUUAAGUAGAAUGACAAUUUCAACUUGAUAUGCAUUAUUUUGUGUAUUUUAUAUUUGUUGUUAGUUCGUUACUUAAGAUGAGUACUUUUUGCAAUUUUGUAAUUUUGAAAAUAUUGACAUGAUUCUGGAACUUGGAUAGAAAUGCCAACAAGUUCUUCAUAUUAAGCAAUCAAGUAGUUUUUCCGCAAACUGGCGUGAUCAUCCCUUUUGAAUUACUUUGAGUGGUGUUCUUUCAUAUAUAUGUCCAUCGUUUAUUGAAAUUGUUGAUCAUUUUGGAUUUUAUAUACGGCAAUUUCAGUUUGGUUUCAUAUUUAAGGUUUUGAUUGGUUUUCUUCUGUUCUAUUAACCGAUUGGUGCUUAUGGAAAAACCACUUGAAAGUUUGUUUUGAAAGAUUAAUUAAUCAUUCUUUUUGUUUGAGGUUGAUCUUGGAUAGAAUCAACUCUUGUGCAGCAGACUAUGUAAUGUAUA